CUUGGUAAACAUUUAGGAAAGUAACAUGAUCGCCCUCAACAGCUGCAAAUCUCAACUUAGCUUCAUCUAGUUCCUUUUGUGCUUUGGUAGAAACCCAAAUAGACUGGAUGGAGAGAACAGCAGCAAUGGUAAUGAUUUCCUCUGAACAUCCAAGUUGGCUUGAAGAUAACAUCAUUUUUGCAAUCAUUGGGUCUAGUGGAAUCUCUGCUGCUUGAAAUCCAACUGGUGAAGUAAGUUUAGCAUCAUCAUCAAGGACUCC
rnacentral:misc_RNA from 1 species